AAUUGUUCGCAAUGGGCGCAAGCCUGACGACGCAACGCCGCGUGGAGGAUGAAGACCUUCGGGUCGUAAACUCCUUUCGAUCGAGACGAAUGGGUUCCGGGCUAACAUCCCGGGAUAUUGACGGUACCGAGAGAAGAAGCACCGGCUCACUACGUGCCAGCAGCCGCGGUAAUACGUAGGGUGCAAGCGUUAAUCGGAAUUACUGGGCGUAAAGCGUGCGCAGGCGGCUUUGCAAGACAGAUGUGAAAUCCCCGGGCUCAACCUGGGAACUGCAUUUGUGACUGCAUGGCUGGAGUGCGGCAGAGGGGGAUGGAAUUCCGCGUGUAGCAGUGAAAUGCGUAGAUAUGCGGAGGAACACCGAUGGCGAAGGCAAUCCCCUGGGCCUGCACUGACGCUCAUGCACGAAAGCGUGGGGAGCAAAC
rnacentral:rRNA from 1 species